AUGCAAGUCGAGCGGGGGAAGGUAGCUUGCUACCGGACCUAGCGGCGGACGGGUGAGUAAUGCUUAGGAAUCUGCCUAUUAGUGGGGGACAACAUCUCGAAAGGGAUGCUAAUACCGCAUACGUCCUACGGGAGAAAGCAGGGGAUCUUCGGACCUUGCGCUAAUAGAUGAGCCUAAGUCGGAUUAGCUAGUUGGUGGGGUAAAGGCCUACCAAGGCGACGAUCUGUAGCGGGUCUGAGAGGAUGAUCCGCCACACUGGGACUGAGACACGGCCCAGACUCCUACGGGAGGCAGCAGUGGGGAAUAUUGGACAAUGGGGGGAACCCUGAUCCAGCCAUGCCGCGUGUGUGAAGAAGGCCUUAUGGUUGUAAAGCACUUUAAGCGAGGAGGAGGCUACUUUAGUUAAUACCUAGAGAUAGUGGACGUUACUCGCAGAAUAAGCACCGGCUAACUCUGUGCCAGCAGCCGCGGUAAUACAGAGGGUGCGAGCGUUAAUCGGAUUUACUGGGCGUAAAGCGUGCGUAGGCGGCUUAUUAAGUCGGAUGUGAAAUCCCCGAGCUUAACUUGGGAAUUGCAUUCGAUACUGGUGAGCUAGAGUAUGGGAGAGGAUGGUAGAAUUCCAGGUGUAGCGGUGAAAUGCGUAGAGAUCUGGAGGAAUACCGAUGGCGAAGGCAGCCAUCUGGCCUAAUACUGACGC
rnacentral:rRNA from 1 species